CCAAAAUUCUUGAAGAACUGUCCAGGACGUAACAUUUGUUGUGUCCUAUUUGUAUGUUGUAUGUAGAUGGCAAACUCCAUUUGAGGUGUUGGUACAGACUAUGGAGUUGAUUUCCGCUUUAUUGUCCUAAAUGCUUUACGAAAUCAUAGGAUUACAGCUGUUCAGAAUCAACAUCCGCUGGAAAACGAAGCCUGCUACAAGAGCUCAGAUGCUUCCAAGACAUCGCCAAUUUGUGUCUACUUGCUUAUUGGAUUAUUGAGCACUGUACAAUUUCAGAACGCGCUUCGUGAGGGGUUGGUUCUGGUAUGGUGCAGAUUUAAUAUUUUUAUUUAAUAUUUUAUCGGAGACAGCUUUACAUUUAAUGCAAGAUGAUGUGGGGUAUUGAAUGAAUGGUUAGGUCAGUUGGCAGUCCCGAUCUUAAUGUACUUGAGCACCUCUCGGACCAAGAUCAGAAACGCAUUUAUCGCUCAUUCAUUCCCAAUCUGCGUAUCACACUUCGGGAAAAAUUUGAUCCCAUUCUACAACAAUUUCCUACAAACUUAACACUUGUUGCUAAUUUGUAAAUAUAUUUUUUUAUAAAUUGAA